UGUUAACUGAAUCCAUAGGUUAACAGAGCAAACCGGGGGAACUGAAACAUCUAAGUACCCCGAGGAGAAGAAAUCAACCGAGAUUCCGGUAGUAGCGGCGAGCGAACCUGGAUUAGCCCUUAAGCACUCGUUGAAGUAGGUGAACAAGCUGGAAAGCUUGGCGAUACAGGGUGAUAGCCCCGUAACCGACGCUUCAUCGAGCGUGAAAUCGAGUAGGGCGGGACACGUGAUAUCCUGUCUGAAUAUGGGGGGACCAUCCUCCAAGGCUAAAUACUCCUGACUGACCGAUAGUGAACCAGUACCGUGAGGGAAAGGCGAAA
rnacentral:rRNA from 1 species